rnacentral:lncRNA from 1 species
CGGGGCCACUGAGCCCGCUGCCUUACAGGGCCAGGGAGAAGCGAGCAGAAGGCCAGGAAAAGAAGAGAAGCAGGUGAGGACCAAAGAGGAAGAAGAAGACACUGCCCAGUGCUUUUCUUCUCAACAGUAACUAAUCCAUGGGCUUCGUCCGCAGGCCCCACUCAGCCACAGCAGUGGCCCUCAGAGACGGAGCAGAAACACCAUUCUUUGUAGAC